UACGGAGGGUGCGAGCGUUAAUCGGAAUUACUGGGCGUAAAGCGCGCGUAGGCGGUUGAGUAAGUCAGAUGUGAAAGCCCCGGGCUUAACCUGGGAACUGCAUUUGAUACUGCUUGACUAGAGUGUGGUAGAGGGUAGUGGAAUUCCCGGUGUAGCAGUGAAAUGCGUAGAUAUCGGGAGGAACACCAGUGGCGAAGGCGGCUACCUGGACCAACACUGACGCUGAGGUGCGAAAGCGUGGGGAGCAAAC
rnacentral:rRNA from 1 species